rnacentral:lncRNA from 1 species
GCGUAGGACCCUCUGAGAGAGGUGCGGGAUAUAAUCUGGUGUGUCGUUUUUUAAGCCCAUUGGAAAAGCGCAGUGUUCAGGUGGGAGUGACCUGAUUUUCCACGUGCCAUCUGUCACCCCUUUCUUUGACUAGGAAAGGGAACUCCCUGACCCCUUGCACUUCCCGAGUGAGGCAAUGCCUCGCCCUGCUUCGGUUUGCGCACGUUGCGCCCACCCACUGACCUGCGCCCACUGUCUGGCACUCCCUAGUGAGAUGAACCCGGUUCCUCAGAUGGAAAUGCAGAAAUCACCCGUCUUCUGCAUCACUCACGCUGGGAGCUGUAGACUGGAGCUGUUCCUGUUCGGCCAUCUUGGCUCCUACUCCUUAUUUUCGUAUUUUAUCUUUUGUGAAUAAUGCUGCAAUCAACAUUUCCAUGUGAAAAGCUUGGUGAAAGAUUUUAAGGACUUCCCAUUGGCUGAAGGCUGGCAAAUGGAGUUUGCUAUCCUCUGACUGCAGCCAUUCUGAGGACUGGAAAGAAUACCCUGAGAAGGGGCCUAUUUUAUUUCUGCAGGAAGGUUGUAGAGUAAGCAUCAUUCUGGCAUCUGCUCAGCUUUCGAAGAGGC